GGGGGCGAACUGGGUUCGACCGGGCAAGUUGAGAUCGAUGGUGGCGUGUCCAGGUUGUCAGGAGGCCUGGUUAAACACCUGGCAAAAAACCUUACUUGCCAACGCUCAACCGUUGCGCAUGGCCGCCUAACAAGCGGUCCGUCUCGCAGGCGACGCCUGCUGGCAUGCGAGGCGAAGAUAGCAGGCUGGUCCGAGUCGAGUUGGCGCCGUGACGACCGGAUGAGAUUUUCUCGACGCUAGGGUGCUCGUAGCCUGUCGCUGGGCGACGGUCAGCCGAAAACAAAUCAGACGACUACACACGUAGAGGCCACGGUCGAAGUGCCACGGGACGGGGGUUCGAUUCCCCCCGCCUCCAGUA
rnacentral:tmRNA from 1 species